ensembl:snoRNA
UGGACCAAUGAUGAGCACAGGUGGCGUAUGAAUUAGGGAUGAUGAAUAUACAUGUCUGGAAGUCUGAGGUCCAA